rnacentral:lncRNA from 1 species
GGGGGCUACAAGCCAGGCCCUGCAGGCUGGGGGCUACGGGCCAGGAGUCGCAGGCCGGAGACUACGGGUGCCCAGGGCUUUGUACAGUACCUGGCACAGUACCUGGUACAUCUUAAGCGCUUAACAAAUGCCAUCCUCAUCCUCAUUAUUAUUAGGGGCCGGUCUGCAGGCCGGGAGCCUCGGGCUGGCUUGGGGCAGGGAGCUGGGGAGGGGGUGGUCGCUCACCUGCCCGUCCGGAACCCAGGCCACCCGGAGCCCAGCUCGCCCUCUCCUGUGUGUGUGUGUAUCCGUCGGAGGGGAGGGGGGAUAUGUGUGUGUGUGUGAGACCCCCUCCCCGCAUGGAUCCAAGGAGGCCGAGAUCUCCCGAUCUAAGUAAUGGCUGAAGACAAGGAAAAAGGGGAAUGGCAGGCACACAGAUAGACAGACACACACAGAGGUCUGGGCGGGAUCCGGGAGCCCUGGAUGUCCGGCAGCCCCCUCCCAUCGCCCUCGAUGAGGGCGAGGGGGAGAGCCCCACCAGGGACAGAUGCAUUGGAGCGAUGCAACGGUGGGGUGGGGGGGGGGGAUGCCACGGAGCGCUGCAGCGGAUCGCCCCGCGGGGGUCUCGGACCUCCUUGGCCUUCGGGGCCCCCGGCUCUGCAAACAGGGCAAGCCGGAGGGGCAGAUUCCGGACCCCCAGAUCCCCAGACCCUCGACCCCUUCCCUCCGAGGCCCGGGAAAAACGCCCGGAGCCCGGGAGCAGAACCGCAAGCCCCUUCCCCGUCCCGGCCGCCGCAGCCCCCGCCCCCAGUAAAACAAAGAGCAACGGUCAGAGAGCCCCCCCUUCCCCGGGCCCCCCCCCCCAGGACCCCCAGUACCUGCCCAACGCCGCCCGAGGGCUCCGCACAGGCUCAGCGCGCCCCGGCCCCGGCCCGGCCCAUGUGCAGCCGGGGAGGGGGAGCGGGAGCACGGGGCGGGGGAGGAGGAGGAAGAGCGCUGAUGGUUCUGAUGACAUCACCUUUCUGGAGGAGCCGAGGGAGGGGGGAAUCUGGGAAUAGGCUGGCAAGAGGAGUCUCGCUUCCUUGAUUCCCGGAGCUGGCAGUUUAGACCAGCUGC